rnacentral:piRNA from 1 species
UGAGGCUGUUCUUUCCCAACUGCUGAUGC